GAAUAUUGGACAAUGGGCGGAAGCCUGAUCCAGCCAUGCCGCGUGUGUGAAGAAGGCCUUUUGGCUGUAAAGCACUUUAAGCGCGGAGGAGGAGCUCUUGGUUAAUACCCACUAUUCUUGGACGUUACUCGCAGACUACGCACCGGCUAACUCUGUUCCCGCACCCGCGGUAAUACAGAGGGUGCAAGCGUUAAUCGGAUUUACUGGGCGUAAAGCGCGCGUAGGGGGCCAAUUAAGUCAAAUGUGAAAUCCCCGAGCUUAACUUGGGAAUUGCAUUCGAUACUGGUUGGCUAGAGUAUGGGAGAGGAUGGUAGAAUUCCAGGUGUAGCGGUGAAAUGCGUAGAGAUCUGGAGGAAUGCCGAUGGCGAAGGCAGCCAUCUGGCCUAAUACUGACACUGAGGUGCGAAAGCAUGGGGAGCAAACA
rnacentral:rRNA from 1 species